GAUGAACGCUGGCGACGUGCCUAAUACAUGCAAGUCGUACGGAAAGGCCCUUCGGGGUACUCGAGUGGCGGACGGCUGAGUAACGCGUGGGAACGUGCCCCAAAGUGAGGGAUAACGCACCGAAAGGUGUGCUAAUACCGCAUAUGGUCUUCGGAUUAAAGCUUCGGCGCUUUGGGAGCGGCCCGCGUACGAUUAGAUAGUUGGUGAGGUAAUGGCUCACCAAGUCGACGAUCGUUAGCUGGUCUGAGAGGAUGAUCAGCCAGGCUGGGACUGAGACACGGCCCAGACUCCUACGGGAGGCAGCAGUAAGGAAUCUUCCACAAUGGGGGCAACCCUGAUGGAGCAACGCCGCGUGCAGGAUGAAGGUUUUCGGAUCGUAAACUGCUUUUAUAAGUGAAGAAUAUGACGGUAACUUAUGAAUAAGGAUCGGCUAACUACGUGCCAGCAGCCGCAGUAA
rnacentral:rRNA from 1 species